rnacentral:misc_RNA from 1 species
CUCGUCUGUCCAACUCACCGAGGUCCAUGUAGAUAAUACCGCAAUUAAUUACACGGUGAUAACGAUGCUGAUUAGUAACAAAGGCUCCUAUUCGUUCUCUUAUCGAGCACGGAUUACGGAUUGUCCACAAGGAGUUCCGGUAUCAUGGUUGAACGCCGAGAGCGCGACAAAGACAAUCUCGUCCCAUCGUGAUCGUAAAGUAGCUUUGAGUCUCACCGGCAGACUCUCGUUAAAUGAAUUCUCUUGCUCCGUAAUACUCUUGAGUCGUUACGACGAGCCAGUAGCAUGGAGGGAGAUAAAAGUACGAAAAAUGGAUCGUUGCUCUUGCGUGGGACACU